rnacentral:rRNA from 1 species
UACGGGGGGUGCGAGCGUUGUCCGGAAUCACUGGGCGUAAAGGGCGCGUAGGUGGCCUGAUAAGGGUGUGGUGAAAGUCCGGGGCUCAAUCCCGGAUCUGCCGUGCCGACUGUUAGGCUAGAGUACUGUAGGGGCAGGCGGAAUUCCGGGUGUAGCGGUGGAAUGCGUAGAGAUCCGGAGGAAGACCGGUGGCGAAGGCGGCCUGCUGGGCAGUUACUGACACUGAGGCGCGACAGCGUGGGGAGCAAACAGG